rnacentral:rRNA from 1 species
CCCUUAGAUGUCCUGGGCCGCACGCGCGUUACACUGAUGCAUUCAACGAGCUUAUAACCUUGGCCGAGAGGCCUGGGCAAUCUUGUUAACGUGCAUCGUGAUAGGGAUAGAUUAUUGCAAUUUUUAAUCUUGAACGAGGAAUUCCUAGUAAACGCAAAUCAUCAAUUUGCAUUGAUUACGUCCCUGCCCUUUGUACACACCGCCCGUCGCACCUACCGAUUGAAUGGUCCGGUGAAGCCUCGGGAUUGUGGCCAGUUCACUUUAUUGGGAGUUGGCUGUGAGAACUUGUCUAAACCUUAUCAUUUAGAGGAAGGUGAAGUCGUAACA